GACGAACGCUGGCGGCGUGCUUAACACAUGCAAGUCGAACGGAAAGGCCCUGCUUUUGUGGGGUGCUCGAGUGGCGAACGGGUGAGUAACACGUGAGUAACCUGCCCUUGACUUUGGGAUAACUUCAGGAAACUGGGGCUAAUACCGGAUAGGAGCUCCUGCUGCAUGGUGGGGGUUGGAAAGUUUCGGCGGUUGGGGAUGGACUCGCGGCUUAUCAGCUUGUUGGUGGGGUAGCGGCUUACCAAGGCUUUGACGGGUAGCCGGCCUGAGAGGGUGACCGGCCACAUUGGGACUGAGAUACGGCCCAGACUCCUACGGGAGGCAGCGGUGGGGAAUAUUGCACAAUGGGCGGAAGCCUGAUGCAGCAACGCCGCGUGCGGGAUGACGGCCUUCGGGUUGUAAACCGCUUUCGCCUGUGACGAAGCGUGAGUGACGGUAAUGGGUAAAGAAGCACCGGCUAACUACGUG
rnacentral:rRNA from 1 species